GGGCACGUGAGGGAGCACUCUCCCCUGAGCGCUCUCUGCCCAGCUCCCUCGCGCGCACCGCACUGAUGCCGGAGCCGGAAUAUGACAUAAUUCCGGCUCCAGGAUUAGUAAGCUGCGCGUGAGGGAUCUGGGCAGAGUGCACUCAGGGGAGAGUGCUCCCUCGCGUGC